GUCUUUCUUCUUUUCAGCCUCAAUGCUUUCAUUCCUAUGUAUUUGAUUCCUGUUUAUUUAAUUUUUACUUAUCAUCAUAUAUAAAGUUUAUUCUUAGUAAGUGUUUAUAAGGAAAACAUAAACUUUCUUCUUUGCAACUUGCAACUGCAGAAAUUUCCACUAGGUUGAAUUUUACUGUAAAAUAGUUCCUUUCACUGGGAAAUACCCAGACUUGUGAGCCCAGAUGUCCAAGUUUGAAAACAUAGUCCUAUUCUUACUGGCCACAAAUAUAAACAUCUGACUCAAGGUCAGCCAACCCAUUGAUGUCUAUCUUCUGCCUUGCUCACUGGUGUCCAGAGCUGCCAAGUAAGAAGAUUAAGUCUGCUGUGUUGUAAGGACUCUCAAGCUCCAAGGAGACAUUACACGAAUACGGGUCCCAGUCCAUAGUUCCACCUGAGUCAGUCUUCCAGUCAUCCCAGGCCAGCUGUCCGAUGUAUAGGAAACAGCAUCAGGGGCUGUUGACUUUAUGGAUCAGAAUCACCAUCAUGAGUGUGGGAAGUAGGACCUCAAGUUUCAGGCAAGUGGAUUCAAUAUAUGCCUUUCCCCAGGGCGAGAGGCUCACAAAGCAAGAGGAAUGUCAUUUUUCAGUCAACAGAAAUAGAGCUUUUUGUCUGCAAUAGUAACUUGAAACAGGAAGUACUCUUCAGAAGUUGAUGCUCUUGACCAAGACUAUGGAUGAAGUGGAUACAAGGCUAUACCCUGAGCACUUCCUUUGGGAAGAAACAACAAGAAAUUCCUACCGUUUGAUCCUCUAUCUGUGGAGUGAAUAUCGAAGAGGUACAACAAGGCAGCUAUUCACAUAGGAGGGGCUUUCAGAAGACUCCUACCUUGUGCGGAUACAGAACUGCAGAAGACAACAGUCAAGACAAGGGUAAAAUGAGCUGGCGAAAACCUAAAGGCAAUGGACUAGAUAACAUGAAUUAGGAGUUAAAGCCUCAGAGAUCCAAAUGGCUUUCCCAGUGAAAAAUUCAUUUAUCUUGACCUAAGACAGGAAAUGAGGAGGAGAAAGAAGUCAUCAAGCAGAAGAAAACUUAAACAUUUGAAGAGAGAAAGUCAAUGUGCUCCAGAUGCCUAUAGUGGAGACAUUUUGGGAAAAGUUCCAGAAGUUUGAUGGAGCUAGUGUGUAUCAGUGGAAUUGUGCCCUUCCUGCAGAGCCCUCUGGAGGGCCAAUAAACCCCAUUGCAGGUCACCAUGCUGGUUGGACUCUCAUGAAGAGGGAAAGGGAAUGGGUAGAGCCAUGGAGGAGGAGUGAUGUCGCCAGGAAUAAUUUUCAAGAACGUUUUAUGAUAAUGGGAUGAACAUCUUCAGUGGUGAUCAAAGAUAGAGAGCAAUUAACACUGAGAAGAAAGAUUCAUAAGUUUAGCAUAGUAAAAUUUGAUUUGGAAUUCCCAGCUUUGCUCCCAACUAUUUUAAAAGGUCCCUCCUGACGCUGCCUAUCCCUAUUGUGAAAACUCAAGUUUUCCGCAAAAUUACUAAUGUCUCACAUACCACGGUGCUGUGCUCUUUAACUCCCAAGAUAAUUAUUCCUCUCAAAGCAAGGAAGUCACUGAUGGGAAUACAGUUAACUUUACUGGGCAGCAAAUUUGCAUUUAUUCCUUCUGGGAGAAUUAGUCUGAGGCAGUAUAACUUGAAGGAUCUCUAUAAAGAGUAAAUAUCGAUUGAGACUUGGCUUUUGUUUUCCUCAAUAAUCUAGAAAUAAGAUGGGCUGUAAGUAUCCUGCAAAUGUCCUUUCUCUCCCUAGAACCCAUGAACUCACUCUCCCCACCUCAGGCCAUCUGGUGUCUGCAUUAGACUUCCAUGUGGUUUUUCACUCACAAGACCAAGUCUGCACCCACCCUCUCUCAUGUCAGGAAUUUGAUCCCAGCAAUGCUUUGUCCAGCACUUCCGCUCCUUCUUUCACAUGUUUCUUGAAGCACCAUGAUUUCCCUGAAUAAUAAAAGCUUUUUUUCUCCUUAUUGUUUUUCUUCUAUAGAGCCUCCAGAUAUGAAAUCAAAUGUUGUACAUAAACUGUGUGCAUACUUUAUUUGUGUGUUUAUUAUUUAUUCAUAGGUAUUGGUUGUUGUUUGCAUCCAUGGCUUAGAUGUUCUCUGUAGAAAUAUUCUCUUUUUUUGUGUCAA